AUACGGAGGGUCCGAGCGUUAAUCGGAAUUACUGGGCGUAAAGCGCGCGUCGGCGGAUAUUUAAGUCAGAUGUGAAAUCCCUGGGCUCAACCUAGGAACUGCAUUUGAAACUGGAUAUCUAGAGUAUGGUAGAGGUGAGUGGAAUUUCAGGUGUAGCGGUGAAAUGCGUAGAGAUCUGAAGGAACAUCAGUGGCGAAGGCGACUCACUGGGCCAUUACUGACGCUGAGGUGCGAAAGCGUGGGUAGCAAACAGGAUUAGGUACCCCAGUAGUCC
rnacentral:rRNA from 1 species